CGGUCUGAGAGGAUGUCCGGCCACACUGGAACUGAGACACGGUCCAUACACCUACGGGUGGCAGCAGUCGAGAAUCAUUCACAAUGGGGGAAACCCUGAUGGUGCGACACCGCGUGGGGGAAUGAAGGUCUUCGGAUUGAAAACCCCUGUCAUGUGGGAGCAAAUUAAAAAGAUAGUACCACAAGAGGAAGAGACGGCUAACUCUGUGCCAGCCGCCGCGGUAAUACAGAGGUCUCAAGCGUUGUUCGGAAUCACUGGGCGUAAAGCGUGCGUAGGCUGUUUCGUACGUCGUGUGUGAAAGGCGCGGGCUCAACCCGCGGACGGCACAUAAUACUGUCAGUCUAGAGUACUGGAGGGGGAACGCGGAAUUUCUCGGUGUAGCAGUGAAAUGCGUAGAUAUUGAGAGGAACACUAGUGGCGAAGGCGGGUUCCUGGACAUUAACUGACGCUGAGGCACGAAGGCCAGGGGAGCGAACGGGAUUAGAUACCCCUGUAGUCCUGGCAGUAAACGGUGCACGCUUGGUGUGCGGGGAAUCGACCCCCUGCGUGCCGGAGCUAACGCUUUAAGCGUGCCGCCUGGGGAGUACGGUCGCAAGAUUAAAACUCAAAGAAAUUGACGGGGACCCGCACAAGCGGUGGAGUAUGUGGCUUAAUUCGAUGCAACGCGAAGAACCUUACUUGGGCUUGACAUGUAAUGAACAACAUGUGAAAGCAUGCGACUCUUGGGAGGCGUUACACAGGUGCUCCAUGGCCGUGGUCAGCUCGUGUCGUGAGAUGUUUGGUUAAGUCCACCACCGAGCGCAUCCCCUGUUGCCAGUUACCAGCACGUGAAGGUGGGGACUCUGGCGAGACUGCCCAGAUCAACUGGGAGGAAGGCGGGGAAGACGUCAGGUCAGUAUGGCCUUUAUGCCCAGGGCUGCACACGUACUACAAUGCCCAGUACAGAGGGGCCCGAAGCCGCGAGGCGGAGGAAAUCCUGAAAAUUGGCCCCAGUUCGGUCUGUAGGCUGCAACCCGCCUACAGGAAGCCGGAAUCGCUAGUAAUGGCGCAUCAGGUACGGCGCCGUGAAUACGUUCCCGGCUCUUGUACACACCGCCCGUCA
rnacentral:rRNA from 1 species